rnacentral:rRNA from 1 species
GAAUAUUGGACAAUGGGCGAAAGCCUGAUCCAGCAAUGCCGCGUGAGUGAUGAAGGCCCUAGGGUUGUAAAGCUCUUUUACCAGGGAUGAUAAUGACAGUACCUGGCGAAUAAGCUCCGGCUAACUCCGUGCCAGCAGCCGCGGUAAUACGGAGGGAGCUAGCGUUGUUCGGAAUUACUGGGCGUAAAGCGCACGUAGGCGGCGAUUCAAGUCAGAGGUGAAAGCCCGGGGCUCAACCCCGGAACUGCCUUUGAAACUAGAUUGCUAGAAUCCUGGAGAGGCGAGUGGAAUUCCGAGUGUAGAGGUGAAAUUCGUAGAUAUUCGGAAGAACACCAGUGGCGAAGGCGACUCGCUGGACAGGUAUUGACGCUGAGGUGCGAAAGCGUGGGGAGCAAACAG